rnacentral:rRNA from 1 species
AGCGAACGCUGGCGGCAGGCUUAACACAUGCAAGUCGAGCGGACCUUUCGGGGUCAGCGGCGGACGGGUGAGUAACGCGUGGGAACGUGCCUUCCGGUUCGGAAUAACCCUGGGAAACUAGGGCUAAUACCGGAUACGCCCUUAUGGGGAAAGGUUUACUGCCGGAAGAUCGGCCCGCGUCUGAUUAGCUAGUUGGUGGGGUAACGGCCUACCAAGGCGACGAUCAGUAGCUGGUCUGAGAGGAUGAUCAGCCACACUGGGGCUGAGACACGGCCCAGACUCCUACGGGAGGCAGCAGUGGGGAAUAUUGGACAAUGGGCGCAAGCCUGAUCCAGCCAUGCCGCGUGAGUGAUGAAGGCCUUAGGGUUGUAAAGCUCUUUUAUCCGGGACGAUAAUGACGGUACCGGAGGAAUAAGCCCCGGCUAACUUCGUGCCAGCAGCCGCGGUAAUACGAAGGGGGCUAGCGUUGCUCGGAAUCACUGGGCGUAAAGGGCGCGUAGGCGGCGUUUUAAGUCGGGGGUGAAAGCCUGUGGCUCAACCACAGAAUGGCCUUCGAUACUGGGACGCUUGAGUAUGGUAGAGGUUGGUGGAACUGCGAGUGUAGAGGUGAAAUUCGUAGAUAUUCGCAAGAACACCGGUGGCGAAGGCGGCCAACUGGACCAUUACUGACGCUGAGGCGCGAAAGCGUGGGGAGCAGACAGG